GACGCGGUGGCCUAAUGGUUAGCGGCGUUAGACUCCGGAUCGAGCGGUCGGGUUCGAGCCCUACCCUGGGUCA